GCGUGUUUUUUACCUAUUCUAGUUUAUAGUACCAAAUGAAGUCCAAUUUCCUCGAAUUUUUUAUAUUUUUUUCUGAACCAUAUGAAGACAUGGAAGCUUCGGGAGAAGGCUGAAAGCCACACGAGAGAGCCACAAGCCAACAUGGCACGAUAGGGGGGUCGGCGCACCCUAAUGUCUUGUCCCUCCAUGGUGUGCUCUCUACAUCCGUUGUAUGGCCUAUAAAUUCACAUAUAUUCGAAAAACCUUAUAUAACAGAGACAAACAUUUUUUCUGCCGUCGCAAGUCUCUGUUCCACGGCGAUCCCGUCUGGAGCUCCAUUCCGGCACCCUCGUACGAGGGGGAUCGAUCACGGAGGGCCUCUUGAUCAACCUUGUUGCCCUUGUGAUGAUGUGUGAACAGUUCACCAUAGACCUAUGAGUCUGUAGUUAGUACAUAGAUGGCUAUAACUCUCUCUCUUAAUUUUCAAUACAAUGAUCAUCACAUCUUUUCUUUGAUCUAUCUGAAGUAAUUCUUUUGUAUGGUGUGUUUGUUGGGAUCUGAUUAAUUAUGGGUUUAUGUUCAGAUUAUUCGUGAAAAACAUUUGAGUCUUCUCUUAGUUUUAUGAUUCCUAUUUGCGUGAUCAUCAUAGCUUCAUAAUUCUCUCCAUACUAUUGAAUUGCUUUGUCCAAGUUUCUUGAUACUUCUUAAGUGAGAGGGGUGCGUUGUAUUGGGUUCACCCUGACGAGUUUCUAUAUCCUAGUGAUAGAAGGGGACAAGCGUUGUCUUUGUGUUGUUGACACUAAGGAUAAAUUUAUGGGGUUUAUUCAUAUUUAUUGAGUUUAAUUAGUCUACAUCAUGUCAUUGUUCCCCAUGCAUUACUCUAUUUGUCAUGAACUUGAUACGUAGAGAGGCAAGCAUAAAAGUGCUCUUAAAGUGGAGUAAUAGUAGCAGGUGCAUGCUGGAUUUGUCUUAUUCGCUUAUGGAUGUCGUUCCUAUAUACACUAGAUCAUUGAAGUGAAAAUCGCAUAACAAUCCGGUUUUGUGUCAACUUCCCAACAGUAAUUUGUUUACCCACCAUAUGUUGCUUUCAUGAGAGAUGCCACUAGAGAAUACUAUGCCCCCGAGUCUAUUCACUUAUAUAUUCACAAAACUUAUAAUUUUCUUGUUGUUCUUAUUUUUCUUUUCUUUUAUUCCGCAUUUGACAAUUCUCUACAAUUAUGUACACACCUCAUUCGCUUGCAAGUAAUGAGAUCAAGGGGAUUAACAACCCUAUUGCCCGCGUUGGGUGCAAUUUGUUUUCUUUUGUGUUCUUCUGUUGAAGGCUGUCGAGGAUUGAUAUUCCUAUUGGUUUGAUAAACCUUGGUUUUAUAACUGUGGGAAAUACUUACUCGUAUUGUGCUGCAAUUACUCGUUCCUCUUCACGAAAAAGGAACGCAAAUCACAAGUAUCAGGAAGGACUUCUUGUGCUGUUGGCGGGAUAUAUCAUCACCAACUAUCAAGUAACUUCACGCAAAUUAUCAUUCACUUGUAAUUAUUUUUUAUUUCUGUAAUAUUUAUCUUCCUUCAAUAAAAAAAAGAAAAUAUUUAUCUUUUCUUGUUAGUAGUUUACUUCUUUGCUCGCUAUUUCACUUGUCCGACUUGUUACUUUGCUUGCCUGGUCACCAUGUCUCGAGAUACUACUAAGUUGUGUGACUUCUCAAAUACUAAUAAUAUUGAUUUUAUUACUACUCCUAUACCACCCGCAACUAGUGCGGAGGCUUUAAUACUAAUGUUUCAUAGCUGAAUCUUAACAUGAAAGAACAAUUUUUGGGAAGUCCUAAUGAGGAUCCCGCUACUCAUUUUAGUAACUUUGUCAAACUUUGUGAUAUGUAAAAGAAAAAGGACAUGAAUAAUGAUAUUAUGAAAUUAAACUUAUUUCCUUUUUCACUAAGAUAUAAAGCUAUGGCUUUUUCCACGUAAUAGUAUUGGAACAUGGGAUAAUUGUAAAGAUGCUUUUUUGCCAAUUAUUUUCCUCCUACUAAGACCCAUCUCCCUUAGAAAUCAAAUAAUUGAUUUUAAACAACUUGAUAAUGAACAUGUUGGACAAGCUUGGGAGAGGAUGUAAUUAAUGAUUAGAAAUUGUUGUGCACAUUGUUUAAAAUUGUGGAUGUUUAUCCAAAAUUAUAUGUUGGACUAAACUUUCUAUCUAUAAAUCUCUAGAUUCUGCGGUAGGUGGUACCUUCAUGGAGGUGACCUUAGGGAAGACCAAACUUCUGGACAACAUCAUAGUCAACUAUGCUCAAUGGAAUAUCGAAAGAGCUCCAAUUGGUAAGAAGGUAAAUUUUUUUGACAAAAUUACUACUUUGAGUGAAAAAGUGGAUGAUCUUAUGAAUUUGGUUGUUAAUUAAAAUGCUCAUGUUGAUACUAAUGACAUGCGCUUGUCUACUUUGAUUGAGAAAAUGAUAAUUCCAUUGAUAUGAAUUUUAUCUCACAACAUAAUAUUAAUAACAAUGCCUAUAGGGGUAGUUUCAAUGCUUGGCCAUAUCCCGCUAACCUCUAUAGUGGUUAUGGUAAUUAUUAGGGGAAUUCUUACCAAACUCCUUCUACGAAUUAUAAUAAGUUCUCAACUCACAUUGAAAACACUAUUAAAGAAUUCAUCAAUUCUCAAAAAGUUUUUAGUACAUGGUAGAGGAAAAGCUGCAUACGAAUGAUACUUCGGCUAAGAACAUGGAUAGAAUUUCCCUUGGCAUACAAACUCUUAAAAGUAAAGCUUUGCCACCCAAGAAUGAUUGUAAUGAGACUAUUAAAUCUGUCCAAAUAUCUAUGAAUGAAAGCAAGGAGAGGACCUCUAAGUUGAAAGCUAAGCGGGAAUUCCUAGAAAAAUCUCUCCCACUUGGUUUUUACCGUAAUCAUGAUGAAGAUAUUAAAACGAUUGACGCUUCUCCUAUUGAUUCCUUAUUUACUUCUCUAAAUAUAAAUGAUAAAGGCAAUGGAGAAGAGUCAAUUUUACCUAGAGAGCUUCUCAUUUACUUGGAGGGUGAUGAUUCAAAUGCUAAAACUGAAAAAGUGGGUUUGGAGAGCUCAAAAAAUUAACUAUUGAUGUUUGUCGGAAUCGGCGCUCCGGGGACCCAAAGAGGUUGAUGUUUGGGUUGUGCUAGUUCCCCUGCCCUGACCUACCUCGCAACCUAACGGUGACUAUCCGGCAUGCUCGAGCUAAGGAAGAAGAACAAUGGACAUGGCAGUUUACCCAGGUUAAGGCCACCUUGCUGUGUGAAACCCUACUCAUGCUUGUAUGGAUUGAUAGAGGGUGAUAAAGAGUCCUACUGUGUGUUCCGGGUAGCUUUGGGUCGAUGGGUCACCCUCUACAGUGGGAACCUGCUCUAUCUUAUACUCGUCAUAGACCUCCGCCCCUAAAACACAAGGCGGUAAGGGUUGGAACAAUGGCAAGUUGGCAGGGGACAUGACUACAACUUAUCGUGACAAAAGUUGUCUUCGCCUCCAAAAGCCUCCUCCUGUGACAUGCUGAUGGGAUCGGGAAGGAUCUCCAUCCUGUUGAACCCCCAGCCUUGGUCUUCUUGCACCAAACUGGAAACAUUUGGAGCUUGCUUUGGGAACCGACGAGUUAGUCCCACUCCCUUAGCACAAAAGAGGAAGGCCUCCUCAUUUGUGCCUGUCGGCAUGGCUCCUGGCACCGCUCAACGUGGCGCACAUCACCCACGUGAUGAUGCAGGACGGCAUGACCCCGUAGAGCCACACUUGAUUAGUCCUCCCCACGACGGCCUCGGGGGCACCCUCGAUGCGUGACCUCGUGGGAGGGCUUCGCGUGGCACCUCAUGAUACUUGCUGACAUGCGCCUCGCGAGGGAUUUUUCCAUGAAGUGCAAAGUUGGGCCACCCAGGGCCCAUGGCAUGCGUCACAUCUGGGGAUAAAAGAAUACUGGCUUGGGUAUCCUAGAUCUCACGGGCCCGACAGUAGCACCAGGGCCCGCGACAUGCAUGAUUCUGCUAGUUGGAGGUGAAAUUAUGCGGGCCCCAACCGCCUACGGGUCAAGAGCGAUGCAUGGUGCACGAUGUGGUGAGGGACACCCUCACUUACCCACGACCCCUCAGAAACUGCCAACACGGACAUAAAGUGUCCGCACGAUGCGGGACCAUCGUUCCUUUUUUCCUUGCCUUACGUCCGUCAAGCAAAGCUGAGGGGUCGCAGGUCAGCCAUCCGCCGACUGCUCUACAUUGGCAAGGUGACGUGUCCCUUGACUCGUCUUCCUCUGACUUGUUGUUCAUUCCUACUUGUUGUAAUACCGAUGGUGCAUGUGAGGACGUUCUCUGCUUCUGAGAAGGGAAAAGAAGUGAUGGAAGAUGGAGGAUGUGCUAGAGGCGGCGAGGGGGCGAGGCUGCCCUCACACGCCCACCACCACGGCCGGGGCGCCUUCCAGGGUGCGGGGCACACUUCGCUCGCUACCCAUGCCAUCUCACGAAGUCCUGGAAGAAUCUAAGCCUACAGACGUGGACGCGAGGGGUGAGAGGCCGCGGGCGUAGUAGGAGGAAUGGCACGGCCAUUCGGCCACGCCGACCGUGGAACCACACCACCGACGCGGCGUGCGAGUUUAUCAUGGGGAUGGACAACCAGACCCGCACCUGGGUCCGGCUCCUCGACUCCUUUGCAGAUGAGAUGGCGGAGCACGUGCCCCUGGCCCGCGGCUGUAGCUAGACGACUACUCCAACGGAUCUUCCUCGGUGGCGAGAGAGUUCAUACCCUCCGACUUCAUGUUCUUGAAGCAGGGGUGGAAGUCGUUCGCUCUUGCUCGCGGCUUGAAGGAGGGGCGUAUCCUCCAUUUCAAGAUCGGCGGGGCCUCCACACUCUUCAUGAAGAUCUUCAUGGAAGAUGGCAAUAGUCUGUGCUGCUGCAUGGAGAGAGACAGCAGCGGUGGUGGUAUUUCUUCAGACGAUGAUGGUAGCAGCAGCACUUGCUCCGCAAUCAGUGGAGCCGACGACUACGAUGACUCCUCAGGCGUCCGCCUCAAGAAGGAAGACUCUGACUAGGCGCAGGCGGCGCUAGAGUCAAAGUCCUGGAGGAGGUGCUGCUAUAGCCCAGUCCUUCGUCUUAUGCAAUAAACCGUGCUAGCCAUGCGGGUGUGUCUAAGAAGAAUUAUUGCCUUCGCACCUUAAGUCUAAUGCUGUCUAAAAUGAGUUCAUUGUUAGCGCUUCUCAUUAGGCAUGUCCCCUUCUCUAUAUCGCCUUAAUGCUCUACAUGAAAGCACAAUUUAUCGCUAAGGUGGUUUUGGUAAUAAAUCACAACAUAUGCAUGAUAUGAUAUUAUCAAUGUAUAUUUCAGAAAAGUUCGAAUAUGCCUUGUCUAAAGGAUUCUGAGGAGUAACACCUUGAUGAAGAAAAGUAAUAGGAUUGACUCAAGAUUCAAGCAAGAAGACUCUACAUUUUACAUUUAUGAGAAAUCACUUUGAAUCCAUAGGAAAGCCAAUACUAUUAAAAAGGGAUGAAGUACUAUGAUGAAUUGGUUGCUCAAGUGCUUAGAGAUAGCCACCAAAAAUAUUCACUCAUUGUCCCACAAAAUCAUUGUACAAAGCCAAACCAACAAAAUUAGUGCAACCAAAUUCUCCCAUUCGUCCGUACCGAUUUUCCACCACACGGAUCCUAUGACAAACCCUAAUCUCUUGGUACCACCAACUUCCAUAUCGGUGCCAUCGACAUGAGUGACCAACUUUAUGUUGAGAAAAUUCCAAUAAUCAAAAUUUCCGAGAUUGGAAUCGGUGUCACCAAGGUUUGUAAACUACUCUAGGUCAUUGUAUCGGUACCACCAAGAUUUAUAUAUGGGUCUCACCGAGAAUUCAAAAGUUUCCACAUUUAGUGUAACUUGGUACCAUCGAGAUUCAUUUUGGUGUCACCGUGUUGGGCAAUAAUGUUGUAAUGGGUGGAUUUUGGGGAUGCCUAUAUAUACCCCUCCACCUCCUCUCAUUCACAGAGGAAGCACUAAGAACACACACCCUCUUGCUAGACCCAUUUUUUGAGAUAGAGCCACCUAUUCAUGUGUUGAGAUCAAGAGAUUCCAAUUCAAGCAUUCCAAACUUGAUCUCUACCCUCUCCAAGUGGCCUUCCACAAAGUCAAUCUCUCCUACACAUGCCAAAUCUGUAAGAGAGUGAUUGAUUGUUGAGGAUACUAUCUUUUGAAGCACAAGAGGAACAAGUUCAUCGUUCAACCGCAUCUAUUAGCUUUUGGUGGGUGGUGCCUCCUAAAUUGGUUAGGUGUCGCUUGGUAGCCUCCUACUUCGUGUUGUGGAGUCGAACCAAGAAGCUUGUAAUGGCAAGGAGAUCCCCUACUUAGUGAAGAUCUACCACGAGCGAGGCUUGUCUUGUGUGGACGUAAGCCAUGGUGGAAUACACAAAGCCGCUUCUUUGGUGACCCCUUGUAGGUGGAGCCCACCGUGGACUUUCCUAGCCGUUACCCUCCAUGGGAUGAAAUCUCCACUAACGUGAACGUACGAUAGCACCACCUAUCGGAACCACGCCAAAAAUCGCUGUGUCAACCCUUGCGUUUGAUCUUCCUACCGUACACUCUACAUUACAUUUGCAUGUCUUUACUUUCCGCUUCUAUACUCUUAGGUAUGAAGGAGUAGGGUGAACUUGACUACUCAUAAUUCCUAAAAUUGGCCCACAACUAAAAUUGGGAAAUGCUAAGUUUUUAUUUUGUCGAGUAGUCUAAAUAACCCCCCUCUAGACAUACUUCAGAUCCUACAAGUGGUAUGAGAGGUUUGAUCUCCAUUGCCUUGGUUUCACAACCUAGGAGAGUAUGGUGUCUAGGGAGGGAAAUUAUCACCGUAGAAGCCCAUAUUCUGAUGGUACAAACUUUGCUAUUUGGAAGCAUAAGAUGAAAAUGCGUAUUCUUGGUCAUAAUCCUGUCAUUUGGGCUGUUGUUCGUGUUGGUGUGCAAGGUGUUUUCUUGGAAGAAGGAAGAGAACUGGAUCAUGAUGCGCCAACGGAAUUAUUCACUACAAGUAAUUUUCCCAUUUAUGACCAAAAAUAAUGACCGGAGUCAAAUUCGUCAUAAAUUUAUGACCAAAUUUUACAAAAGGGUCAUGUGAUGUUUAAGAAGGUCCAAACCCUAUACCACCAUGACUAUUUCUUCUCAGAAGGUCAUAAUUCCAUUGCACCAAAUGGUCAUUGAAAUGUAUAACACUAUUUAUGUGCUUAUUUCAUGCCCUACAUGACCAAUUCAACAAGGUCAUAGGGUUGAAUAGAGAUGGAUGGACAAACACCUUAUCACUUUUGCCUACAUGUCAUGUAUAAUUGUCAAUUACGUGUUUGAGCCAUAGAGUAUAACUACACUAAUAGGUGGGACACACAUAUUGUGUUACAAAUGCAAAUGACUACGGGGACCCACAUUUAACAUGUGGGAUAACCUAAUAGGCUCAAGAACUGACCCACGAGACGAUAGGCCCGCAUAGGACAUGCAACUCAUUCUUUCAUAUACGUGCUUGAUACUAGAAAUAUACAUAAAUACUUAAAAUAAGUUAUUUGUUUGAUUUAUAGACUUUCUUUGAGAUACACGUACUUAAAAUUCAAAUUAUAUUACAUAAGAACUUGGAAAUGUAUUUCAUAAUGCCUACAUGAUGGUAAAUACUGAAUUGCACACACGUGAGAUGAUGCUUCCGUGAGUGCAAUGUCGAACGUUUUUUGGUUUGUGUUGCAAAUUGAAAUUUAAUCUCUUAAUUAUAUUUUACCCACUUCCAAAAUCUACAAUUUUAACGGAAGCCAGUUUUGUUUUCAUAGAACUCAGAGCUUUAUUUUAUCAAAUUAUAAUCCGGUCACAAACUGUCAUGCAGUUGAUGACAAAACUCGGGUCUUUGAUCAAGCCAACUCUAGAACUAUUGACAAAUUCAAGGGAUAGAAAAGAAAUGAUAGUACACUCUACUAAAUAUGAAUUUCUAGCCAAAAAAUCACAUAUUAAAUUUUCAUAGGAUUUGCACCACAUAGAUUUUUUUCUUUGAGGGCAGAGCCAUAUAGAUGCCACCAAGCUUUAGAAAAGCAAAAGGAGAAGGACACACUGUAGCUACCUUUUUAAGGUCAGUAGUCACCUUGAUUUUUUAAGACAAAGUAGCCACCUUGAUUGCCUCAGGCGCUCGACAAUGCGCGAUUUUUUGGUUGCCUGCGGGGUUUAUAUUUCAUUUCCCGUACAUUUUUAGCACAGUCGAAAAUUUUGGGCCAAGACCCCUUCCCACAUGUCCACGCAGCCACAAUCCAAAUCCUAAUCCUCCUAUUCUACCUCCCAACACCCCAAAGGCCGAAGCCACCAUCUGUUAGGGUUUCUCCUUUAGCGCCGCCGCCGCCAGCACGAUCUAUAGCCACUGUAAUCCAUCCUCUUCUCCGCUUGCUGGAUAGAGAUCUCCAUCGACGCUGAAGCACUCUCUUCCAAGCUUCUCGACCUGCCAUUGAGCGCAAAAUUUCCACAACCGAGGGGCCUCUCCUGCCUCCGAGCCCUCGGCCUCCCCGAGCUGCCUCUCCCGCUGAUGAGCGCGGCUUCGCCACCGACUCCCCAAGUUUCUUCUCGCACGUCUGACUGCCUCCCCGAGAUGUCGCGACAUCACCACUGAAGCCCACCCGCUGCUCCUCUCCUUACCGGAGCAUAUCUUUGGUACCGACACAACACCGAUGCUCUACUUCAGCCACUUUCCAUCAGAGGUAUCAGUACCACUGUCCCAUCCUUCCCUCAGUUCUGCUCAUUGGAUGAUAGGUGUGUGCUGGAUGUGGUUUGCUGCGCUGAAUGAUGCGUGUGCGUGUUGUACGCGGUGCGUGUGUGCAUUAUGCAUGUGUCUGAUGUAUGUAUGUUGCGUGUGUGUUGAUUGCUGGAGGUAGAGAGUCCAUAGCAUUGUACCAAAAGUAGCCUUAGUGUGGUAGUACGAAUUAAUUUAAAGUUUAGUAAUACCUAGUAGAAUAUUAGUAUGUUAGAUCUAAUACAGAGUAGCGGUUAUAUAUCGUCCAUGCAUUUCUUAAUACAACGGUACUCAUGAUUGUGAAAUCUUUCUCAUAAGAUGCUGCAAGUAUCACCAGUAGAAUGAUUGUGAAAUAUUGCAGUAUGUAUAAAAGAUUCUAAAGUAUGCAUGUAGUUUGAGGUUUCUAUGAGAACAAUGAUUUUUUAUGCUUUCUCCAUGAGGAUUUAACACGUGGAGGAUUUUAUUCUUUAUGCAUAAAAGCAGUCAACUUUCUAGGAGUGCUUACCUUUCAUUCUUUCAUUGUUUUAGGUAUGUGGCCUAUGAAUAUGCCAACUUAGAUAUGUUGAAAAAGAAGAUCGAUGUCUAGAAUUUUGGCGUGCUGCCAUUGGAAUCAGUGGCUCGGAGGGAUCCUAUAUAUUGUUGUAAGCCAAGAAAUGAGGUGAACAUAUAUUCUACUUUAAGUGGUGCAUACUGGUGUCAUUUUUGUUUUAACAUCGAUGUUGUAUCGGCUUGAAAAGACAAUUUGUUUCAGUUGUAAUAUUCUGUUACCUCAGUUUGUCUGAACAUAGCAGACCUUAUGUUUCCUUCCCAAUUGUCAUAUGGUUUUCUAUCAUGUCAUCUUCUUGGCUGCUGGGAAUGUACAUUAAUCAACUAUCACAUGGAUGACAUGCAGAUGCAUCCGGUGGCGUGGCUCAAGAUGAUGAUGGGCACGAGGAGAGUUAUGAGUGCCGAAGGAGUGUUUGGAAGUGUUUUGUUGUGCAAAACAUAUGUUAUAUCAGAAGGUUUUAUAACGUACCAAUUGAUGGUUUUCUGCUGUUUUUUGUGAGUUCUCAAGAUUAGAGAGAUGCUAAGGAGAACAAAACUUUUGUGUGCGGUUUCGGAGAACCAUGACUGAUUGCUAGCUUAGGUUCCUCUCUUCUAAUUUGUCUCUCAUCGGAUGAACACUAUCUAGCUUCAUAUGCAUCCAGCUAGUCUUUGACAACAUUGCGAUUUUGUUUUUGCACUAUUUUUUAGCAACUACCACGCCUAGUGAUGAAUACUAUUGUGCCUGACACUAUCUGUCAAUGGCCUAAACUGAAAUUGCAGGAAUCAUAUAAAAUCUACUCCCUCUGUCCCAAAAUAAGUGAAACAAAUUUAAUACUAAGUUAGUUAAAAUUUUGUACUAAAGAAGUGACACUUAUUUUGGACGGGGGGAGUAGUUCAUAAAAAUGAGCAAUAACGGGACAUUUGCUUCUCUAGUUUUUUUGUCUAUAAAGUAAUUUUGUAGUUGGAAGUUGCAUAAAGAACCUUUUGUUUUCAAAUGAAGGUGCAUGUACUCGUGUGAGAUAAUUUCUAUUGCAAAGAUCAUACAGAUUUGUUACUUCUUAUUUCAUGCUAUAUUAGUAGAUUACUCAAACGUCGAACUUUUAGAACUUCAGAGAUUCCUAUCAUUUAUGUUUGAUCACACUCACUAGCUAUGAAAUCUGCAUGCCCGUUUCCAUUAGACCACCAUUAUCUGUAAGAUAUUUACCUUUAACUACAACCUUGAUCUUACAGGUUUGAACUUUGAACAGCAAGAGCAGCACAAUGGGAAUCGUCAUCGUGGUGGACAAAACUGAUGUUCCUCAUCCCCCUUUCCCUAUAAGUUUGAGUCACUCUCAUGCAUCUUCAUGGUAACUAUCAUAGUUGACUAGUUGCAUGUGGAUGGUCGAUAUGAGUGUUGCUGAUGUUAGUGUUGUCGUAUAAUCAGUUGAUUUUUUGUCAUGUUAUUAUAUCUGUGAAAUUUGAACUUAUAUUGUUACUCAUGUUAGAUUUUGAUUUAGGAAGUAAUUAUUCUUUUAUAGUUUUUCGUUCAUUGAAAAAGCACCAUUUCAUUGAACUAGUUAGAAAGGAUUUACUCCCUUCAUUCCUAAAUAUAAGUCUUUUUAAAUAUAUCACUAGGUGACUACAUACGGAGCAAAAUGGGCGAAUCUACACUCUAAAGUAUGUCUAUGUACAUCCGUAUGUAGUCACCUAAUGGAUCUUCUAAAAAGACUUAGUAUUUAGGAACGGAGGGAGCAGUUUACAAUACUAAUAUACUAGUGGAGGUGUUAUACUUUAAUGGGAAUGUGUGUGCGCUUUGCUUCUCCCAAGUCUUAGUUGUAUAAGUAUUAACUAAUUUGUGGUAGGUAGUGGAUGGUUCUAGCACUUCUAAAUUUGUGCACCUCACAUUGUUAUCGACAAUUACCUCUUUAAAUAAUUACAAGUACAUCCUUUUGUGGUCCUUUGAAUAAUCAUCAAAUGAUCAUUAUGUACUGAGUGCUCCUUUCAUAAGUAAGAUUUUUGUUUUCAUUUAAGUAUUCGAAACUUUGAAAUGGAUGUUUUUACACUAUUGUUGAACUUGCUGAUUUUUUUGUAUUUAAUGCUAUAUGAUAAUCUUUUGUUUCUUUACUUUUUAUUUGAGGCUUGCUUCUCAUCUGUGAUCCUUCAUGCUCUCAGAAGUUUGGAAGAGGAAGAUAAUGAAAGCCAUAUCUAGAAUAGCUAGAUGAUGUAGAGAUGUACCUUUUCUUUGAUUGGUGUGACUAUUGGUAUCAUUGGUUUGUUUUAUUUAGUGUUGAAUGUAUCAAACUUGUAUGUAAUAUCAUAUUUGCCUGUGUUGUGAUUUCGAAUGUUGCUACAUGUACUGCAUUUAUUGUUAUAAUUGCAAAAAAAU
rnacentral:lncRNA from 1 species